CCCAAACUUCGAAUUAAACAGUUCAAUCGUAUAAACCUAAUAAGCCCCAAACUUCUCUAACAGUUAGUAAACCUCGGUUUGAACGAAAUUAGCAGAGCGAAUUAGCGAACGAAUUGAAGCUGCUCGUCACCUCCGUUGAUAACAACUGCUAAUCUUUGAGGUUCUUCUCAUCACGCUACUCUUAGAUCCUUCAAACGUUUCAUGCUUGUUGCAGUUAAUUUGUUUGUUUUAAGCAUGUUUGAAAGGAGAUCUCAGGCAAAAUCAGUUAUUUACAGAUUGACGGAGGAGAAAGCUGCUUUUGUAUAUCACAGCAACAGACUUCGCCAAAAAUUGGAUGCUUGGAGGACAACACUUCUUCGAAGAGUGAAGGAAACAUUGAAGGCUAAGGAGCUCGAGGAAGAUGAUCUAUCUUAAUUUGUUCCCCUUUGACCUAUUGUAAACUACUAGUACAUCCUUUAUGUGAUUUUAUUUGUACUUCUUUCAAAUAUGUUACUUUGGUUCUUUGUAUUAACAAGAUAUCAAGUAUUUGGUUUAUUUUCCAGUGUUGUUGAGCGUGUAUGAAAGCAUAUAAA